rnacentral:snoRNA from 1 species
GAGCCCCUGCUGCUGCUGCGCCUGCGCGUGGCGCUAAAGGUACGGCUGGGACGCCAGAGUGAGCGCGCGCUUGCGCAUUACUGGGGCCUUCUGGCCCUUUGGUAGCCCUUUAUUAACUGUGAGCGUCACGG